rnacentral:lncRNA from 1 species
CGAGUUAUUGAGUCUCAUUGCAUUGUUCAUUAGUUGUAUAUAUUAUUAUGUUAGAUGGUUGAUUAUGUGGUUGUUAUGUUAGAAGGUUGUUAUGUUUCUAUUAUAUGAGAAUAGUCGUUGUGUGUAUUAUAUGGAAUUGUGUUAUGGAAUGGGUGAUGUGCAUCUAAUAAUAUGAUGCUUACUUAUUAUCAUGCUUUCCUUUAUAUAAUUGUGAUAUCUCACCCCUUCUGUUUGAAUGUUG